rnacentral:rRNA from 1 species
UAAGCGGAGGAAAAGAAACUAACAAGGAUUCCCCUAGUAACUGCGAGUGAAGCGGGAAAAGCUCAAAUUUAAANUCUGGUGGUCUUUGGCCAUCCGAGUUGUAAUUUAGAGAAGCGUCUUCCGCGCUGGACCGUGCGCAAGUCUCCUGGAAUGGAGCGUCAUAGAGGGUGAGAAUCCCGUCUUUGGCAUGGACACACCAGGGCUUUUGUGAUGCGCUCUCGAAGAGUCGAGUUGUUUGGGAAUGCAGCUCAAAAUGGGUGGUGAACUCCAUCUAUAGCUAAAUAUUGGCGAGAGACCGAUAGCGAACAAGUACCGUGAGGGAAAGAUGAAAAGCACUUUGGAAAGAGAGUGAAACAGUACGUGAAAUUGUUGAAAGGGAAACGCUUGAAGUCAGUCACGUCGACCGAGACUCAGCCUUGCCUCGGCUUGGUGUACUUCUCGGCUGACGGGUCAGCAUCAAUUUUGCCCCUUGGAUAAUGGCGAGGGAAAUGUGACACCUUUAUGGUGUGUUAUAGUCUCUCGUCGCAUGCAAGGGUUGGGAUUGAGGAACUCAGCACGCGCCCUUUGGGUGUCGGGGCUUUGCCCACGAUACGUGCUUAGGAUGUUGGCAUAAUGGCUUUAAACGACC